rnacentral:lncRNA from 1 species
AAUGUAUUUAGUUUACAAAUUUUAAGUGAUGCAAUAAUCAAGUGAAUAAUAUUUUUCAUUAAAUUUAAUUUGUGUUUUAUUUUCUCUCUAUAGUGAUCACCAAUUCGGAAUGAAAAUAGUUAAAUUUGAUGGCUUGCUGUGCGAUUCUGUUAUGUCUUAACCUAUAACAAUGACAAUAUUCUACAUUAAAUUUAAAAUACCCAUGAAUUCCAAACAUUCUUUUUAUCCAGUUACUAUUAACAAACAAUAUCAUAUCAUGUGUGUGGGACUCAGCUUUGAUUUUGAAAUUUGUUAAAUUACAUAUAUAGACUUUUUGAAUAGUUUUACAUAAGCUCUACAUUUUAAAUUUCAACCCAAGACCAUUACACACCAAAGAAGAAGUCACCAUUACAUAUUUUUGAAUAGUUUUACAUAAGCUCUACAUUUUAAAUUUCAACCCAAGACCAUUACACACCAAAGAAGAAGUCACCAUUACACCAUGAGACAAACGGAUAUAUAUAUCAUUUUUUUAAGGCUAACGCUAUAAAAAUUUGUGUCAACUAGUAUCUCCUUCGUAAGGAUUCCAAGUAAAAUGUUGUGCAAAUAAAGUGCAGAUGCAAUGACAAGAUAUCAUCAAAACUAGAAACCGUUUAAAAGUAAAGACAACAAUCUGAUAUGUUCAAUCAAUUUACUGGAAAAGGGAGCACAUUAUUUUCAAUAACGAUAGGAAGAAUUCGACAAUACCAUGCAGUAGUAUUCUAUUAAAAGAAUUGAAAAAGGAAUUAAAAAAUACAUUGUAAUAAGAAUACUUUUCUUGUACAAAAUGUGUAUUACAAAGCCUUGUACCAGAGAUGCCAUGUAAAUCAUUAUGCAAAAAGAAUGCAGCAGCAGUGAAAAGAAUCUGUUAAAAGGCAAACAUUAUUAUCUUGUAGUAGGAAGAAACCAAUAUUGUAAUACAAUGAAUCCAACAACACUGUCAUCAUGAAAAAUUUUGGAAGACGCUAAGGAAAGUUUCCCGUUCUCACCCUGGAAAGANACCAUGUUUUAUAAUAUUCUAUGAAAAGAAUUGAAGAAGAAAUGCAUCCUAGUUAUUACUAAUUUAAAAGACAUAUAGGAAAUAUACAUUAUAAUAAGAAUACUUUUCUUGUAAAAAAUGUAUUGCCAAACGUUGUAUCAGAGAUGCCAUGUGAAUUAUUAUACAAAUAGAAUGCAGCAGCAGUGAAAAGGAUCUGUUAAAAGNCAAACAUUAUUAUCUUGUAUUAGGAAGAAACCAAAAUAUUGUAAUACAAUGGUAUAAAAUAUUUAUUCAAAACUUUAAAGAACUUAUU